rnacentral:rRNA from 1 species
GAUGAACGCUGGCGGCGUGCCUAAUACAUGCAAGUCGAGCGAACAGAUAAGGAGCUUGCUCCUUUGACGUUAGCGGCGGACGGGUGAGUAACACGUGAGUAACCUACCUAUAAGACUGGGAUAACUUCGGGAAACCGGAGCUAAUACCGGAUAACAUUUGGAACCGCAUGGUUCUAAAGUGAAAGAUGGUUUUGCUAUCACUUAUAGAUGGACCCGCGCCGUAUUAGCUAGUUGGUAAGGUAACGGCUUACCAAGGCGACGAUACGUAGCCGACCUGAGAGGGUGAUCGGCCACACUGGAACUGAGACACGGUCCAGACUCCUACGGGAGGCAGCAGUAGGGAAUCUUCCGCAAUGGGCGAAAGCCUGACGGAGCAACGCCGCGUGAGUGAUGAAGGGUUUCGGCUCGUAAAACUCUGUUAUUAGGGAAGAACAAACGUGUAAGUAACUGUGCACGUCUUGACGGUACCUAAUCAGAAAGCCACGGCUAACUACGUG